UGUUGCAAAAUUUGUUGUGAGUGCUUGUC
rnacentral:piRNA from 1 species